GAUGAACGCUGGCGGCGUGCCUAAUACAUGCAAGUCGAGCGAACGGACGAGAAGCUUGCUUCUCUGAUGUUAGCGGCGGACGGGUGAGUAACACGUGGAUAACCUACCUAUAAGACUGGGAUAACUUCGGGAAACCGGAGCUAAUACCGGAUAAUAUUUUGAACCGCAUGGUUCAAAAGUGAAAGACGGUCUUGCUGUCACUUAUAGAUGGAUCCGCGCUGCAUUAGCUAGUUGGUAAGGUAACGGCUUACCAAGGCAACGAUGCAUAGCCGACCUGAGGGGGUGAUCGGCCACACUGGAACUGAGACACGGUCCAGACUCCUACGGGAGGCAGCAGUAGGGAAUCUUCCGCAAUGGGCGAAAGCCUGACGGAGCAACGCCGCGUGAGUGAUGAAGGUCUUCGGAUCGUAAAACUCUGUUAUUAGGGAAGAACAUAUGUGUAAGUAACUGCGCACAUCUUGACGGUACCUAAUCAGAAAGCCACGGCUAACUACGUG
rnacentral:rRNA from 1 species